GGGACGCGCGCAGCCGGUGGCCAACUUUGCCCCGCGCCUCCACCCGGGCAGGAAAAGUGGCUUUGGUGAGCUAUUGGCACUGUGGUUGCCACCUCUGACCUUCAGGGACGUCAGAGGUGAGCGUUUCAGGACUGCCGGCACCAGAGUGUCAGGGGAGAUGACAUUCUCAUCCUCCCGCUUCUUCCUCCCAGCGGUUAGGUUUAGAACUUCGUAGCACCAGCCCAUCGUCCCGCUGGGCGUUUGGUGGGCGGGUGCACAGAUAGUCCUUUACCCGAGCUCUUGUCAAAGGCCCAGCUGCAAUCGGGGCAGGGAAACUGGUAGCCCUCCGCCGCUUCUGCCAGCCCUGCUCUGAGGAGCAUUGUUCCGUGGAUUCUAGGUAUUUGCUUUCUUGUUGACUUUGUCAGUUGCUUAAAAAAUGAAGAGUUUGGCAGAGAUUUCUCAAACUGUGCUGUUUUUCAAGGGAAAAUUAAGCCAUGACCCAGCAGCUUAAUUAAAGUCAUGGCCCAGUCGAAUGGAAGGAACCUAGAUCUGGACCUGCUAGUUUCUUAUUUCUUAUUCUUUUAAUUUAAUAGGAUGUCUUUAGAGAUGCUGGAUGUGUGGGAAAAGUCCACACUACAUACCAUUCACCAUCCUGCAGUAGUUUAUUUCUUUAAAAACAGGUUUACUUGUCUUCCUAAGUAGCUUUUACUUCAUCACAGAGAUGCAUGUAUGUUACAGUUAGCUUCGGGAAGCCAAAGAGGAGAAACACAGGUUUUCACUUUGCCAUGCACAGCAAACCCAACUUGAGCAAGACCUGUAGAAGAACUUAAAGUUUCUAUCCUAUUUUAGAAUCUAAUUUAAUGUAAUUUUCACAAACAUAAUUUACUUUAAAUGUAAAUUCAGAAUUUGAAUUUGAAUUUACUUUUAACGUAAAUUCAAAGUCAGCACCAUGUCCUCUUGUUAAGGACGUAUCCUAUACAUAUUUUUUUUGCAAGCUUUUACUUGUGGUUAGUUUUCAAUACUUAUGCAGCUUUCUCCCCAACCAAAAAAUAAUAAUAAA
rnacentral:lncRNA from 1 species